rnacentral:lncRNA from 1 species
CAGGAGGUGACACAAAGUGACACACAGGUGACCCAAGAGGUGACAGGAGGUGACACACAGGUGACAGGAGGUGACACAGGUGACACACAGGUGACACAGGUGACACAGGAGGUGACACAGGUGACACAGGAGGUGACACAGGAGGUGACACACACAGGUGACACAGGAGGUGACACACAGGUGACACAGGUGACAGAAGGUGACACAGGUGACAGGAGGUGACACAGGAGGUGACACACAGCUGACAGGAGGUGACACACAGGUGACACAGGUGACACAGGAGGGGACACACAGGUGACAGGAGGUGACACAGGAGGGGACACACAGGUGACACAGGUGACACAGGAGGUGACACACAGCUGACAGGAGGUGACACAGGUGACACCCAGGUGACACAGGUGACACAGGUGACACAGGAGGUGACACAGGAGGUGACACAGGUGACCCCCAGGUGACCCCAGCCCACCUCUCCUGAGGGGCAGCAAUUUGUUCUCCAGCACGUCCCGAGCGUCCGUCCCCUCAUCCAUCAGAUCCAGCUUGGUGAUCACCCCAAUGGUCCUCAGACCUGCCCAGGGGGACAAUUAACAAACCACUCAUUAAUUAAUGAACCACUCAUUAAUUAAUGAACCACUCAUUAAUUAAUAAAC